GAUGAACGCUGGCGGCGUGCCUAAUACAUGCAAGUAGAACGCUGAAGGAAGGAGCUUGCUCUUUCCGGAUGAGUUGCGAACGGGUGAGUAACGCGUAGGUAACCUGCCUGGUAGUGGGGGAUAACUAUUGGAAACGAUAGCUAAUACCGCAUAACAGUAGAUAUUGCAUGAUAUCUGCUUGAAAGGGGCAAUUGCUCCACUACCAGAUGGACCUGCGUUGUAUUAGCUAGUUGGUGAGGUAACGGCUCACCAAGGCGACGAUACAUAGCCGACCUGAGAGGGUGAUCGGCCACACUGGGACUGAGACACGGCCCAGACUCCUACGGGAGGCAGCAGUAGGGAAUCUUCGGCAAUGGACGGAAGUCUGACCGAGCAACGCCGCGUGAGUGAAGAAGGUUUUCGGAUCGUAAAGCUCUGUUGUAAGAGAAGAACGAGUGUGAGAGUGGAAAGUUCACAC
rnacentral:rRNA from 1 species